AAACCAUGGUGAGGGCACUUGCGAAGAAGAUCUUUAAAUCGUCCAUGGGCUUCAAAGAGUGUCUUAGUAUCACCUUACCUGAAAGACGAUAUCUCCUGUCUCAGUCU